rnacentral:lncRNA from 1 species
AAACAAUUGAUUUGCACCUGGGGCCACCAUCUGUGUGUAUUUGCACAACCUCCCCAUAGCUGCAUGGGUUUUCUCUGAGUACUCUAGUUUGCUCUCUCAUUCCAAAGUCAUGCACAUUAGGUUAAUUGGCAUGUCUACAUGGACUCAGUGUGAGUGAAUGUGAGCAUGGGUGUGAGUGUGCUCUGCCAUGAGAGAUUGUCCUGUUCAGGGCUGGUUCCCACCUCACUCCGUGAGCUGCUGGGAUGGGCUCUGGCCACCCAUGACCAUGAACUGGAAAUAAGCAGGUAUGGACAAGGUUCUGACCCUUAUUAUUGGAACUCAAAUCCAGAUGGAGUUUGCUCCUGGUAACCUCGAUUCUACAUUGUCUCUACAAAUUUGCCUAUUCUAGGGUACCUAAUGAGAAGGGCCUGUAAAUUACUAUCUGUGGAUCAAAUCUUGCCUGCCACUUGUUUUGUAAAUAAAGUUUUAUUGGAAUAUAUGCAUGCUCAUUUGUUUAUGUACUGUUUUCAUGUUGCAGUGGCAGAGUUGAGUAGUUCUAACAUAGACUGUAUGGCUUCCAAAGCCUAAAAUAUUUACUAUUUUGCUCUUUACAAAAAAGUUUGCUGACUCCUGCUCUAAGAAGCUUUCAAAUAGAUUUAUAUCUAAAAUGCAGCAAUGGCCAAAUUUAUAGUAAUGAUUUCUUUUGCCAGGAAGAUGGAAGGUUUUCUUACUGUAAAACAUUUGCAGAUUUUAAUACUUCUCUCUGCCAUGCCUUGUUUAACAGACAGAUAGGCAUGGAGAAGGCACCAUGUGGCAGUAAGGGAGGUGGGUGCUAAGGGUGUAUCACAACACUGGGAAGCAUAUUCCUUAACAUUAGGAGUUUAUGUGAUUUAGCUGAAGAGAGAACACCUGUAUUAGUUAAAAGGGAAUAUUUAGCAGCAUUUAAACAAAAGCUAUUUCACAUGUCACUAAGUAUACUAUAAGAAUUUCCAGAAAGAAGUAUCAUCCUUUGUCUAAUAGUUCAGAGGAUUUCUAUUAGUAAAUGAAAAAUGACAGCCUCAUUUUAUCCUCCAAAUAUGUCAAAAUUAUCUUGAGUUGUUGGGUACCAGAACUGAUAGGUGUCAUGUAUUUAAGCCCAUUUGAAAAAUACAUUUCAAUAAUGGAGUGAGACUCUGUCUCAAAAAAAUUUCAAAUGUCUUUUCUCAAUUGAAAAAACCUAUUAUUUCUAGAUAGAUAAGUAAAUAACCUUUGCAAACUCGAGCCACACUUUUCCCCUUUCUUUUAAAAUUCAGCUUAAUAUAAUUGAAAACUGAAGUCUGACUCUCCAAGCCUAUAAGGGAUAAAAGAGAGACAGGAUAGAUAGAAAUAACUGGCAACGAGGAGUUACUGGGCUUUGGCUCCAUGGGAGACAAUAGUGGUUUCAUAGAAGGCAAUGGUGGACUCUUAGUCAACUGAAGCUUGGGUGGAACUUAGCUGCAUAAUUAAGAAGCUGAAUCUGUUUUAUUUUAUUUUUCUAUAACAUAAAGAGUGUGAAAAGGUCAUUUUAAUGUUCAGAGAGUGGCUUCUCUUGGAAAAUAUCCCCGAACAUACCAUGGAGCAGUGUCAACUGUAGUAUAAAAUGUCCUAGAAAUCUUGCAAUUUAUGAGUUUAAUGGCACACCUGAGGAUUACGAGGUUUUUUCCGUCCACUCAUAAUAGCCCGGUGACUGAUUUAGCAGAGAGGAAGCAAAAUGAACAAUCUUGAUCACCUUUUAACAUUUUUCCUGUCUUGCUGACUUCAGAGCUUUAGGGGUACAGCAUUUGCAGGAAUUGUAUGUCUUUUUGGCAAUACUUUAAAAUCAAACUCAAAAGAUGAAGAAGAAAAAUGGUUAUUAGAUAGUUAUAAAUAUGUCAUUAUUUGCAAAUGGUAUUGCUUUGUGGAUAUGAAGCUCUUCAUUGCUCAUCUGUUUUUAAGUUCAACGAUCCACAUAUAAAGGUGUAAGGACUUAUUGACAUUGUGCUUCCUCUCUGUUGACACCAUUAGCCCGAGAACUAAGGACAAUGGAUAGCUGUAUAUAAGUUCAAGUUCUGCAUCUACUUCUUAGUUUCCCUUUCCAUCCUUCAGUUGUGUUUGUUUUUUUUUUGAAAUCUGUAAAGUAGGAAUAAUAAUAAAGUUACUAUUCUUUGUAGGGUUUUGAAGGAUUUUCUUGAGAUAAUGUAAAGUACCAGGCAUAUAAUUAGCCUAAAUGUAACUCAACCGUGUUUUUUUAUUUUAAUAUACAUGUCACUACCCAUCUCUAGUGCAGAGAAUCAACAGAAUACAAAUAAUUUUGAAGAUUCAUAUAAUAUUCACACGUUGCAAAAUCUUGUUUGUGGAGCCCUCAUUGUAGCCUGUAUGAUUCAAACGAUGCCACGUAGUCCUUUAAACAUUUCCAGAUAUUAAGGAAUUUUACACUGUUGUGUCACUUUUUAAAUGUCUGCAUUUUUCUGUCUCUCUCUCUCUCAAUCUCUCUGAAUUUGUUUAUCCAGUGAAUAAAAUUAGGAAGAAGUGGAUGCUGUAAGAAUAUUUAUGUGUUUAAAGGUUGUGGUUGCCCCAUUAUAGUUACUUACCAGCAGCUUCAGCACGCAGUCAGAGACUGUAGAAAAAAGAAUCAUUCUUUUCUCUGAUUUGAGGAUGCAUCUCCAGAGUGUUUCUGGGGUAAUGGAUCUAAAAUCAAAAUUUUAAAUGCUAGUUUUUAAGUGUGAAUUUUUCUUCAGCACUUUUGUUCUCUCCUUAUAACCUUUUAUUUCAUUGAGUUCCAGAGAGCAGACAGCUUAGGUUUCUUGAUUUGGCAGAUCAAUGAGGAAGGAUAACUAAAGAAAGUUUAAAGGUAUCUUUUAUACCAAAAUACCUCACUUCUCUUUCAUUGCAGGUGUAGUUAAAAGCACUAAUGCCAUACCCUAGUUUUCUCACCUCUAUUCUUAUUAUACUUGCUUUCUAUGCUUAAGAUGGCAAUUAACUUAAAUAUCUGAGUUCAUGUAGUUCAUCUAGUAGAUAAACAGUAUCAGUGCUACCUGGAUGUAUUUUUGCAUCACUUAUUUGCAUGAUAGUGUUCAAAAAUUUUUGUGAAUUUCAACCACAGAAAAGACAUAAUAGGGCAAUUCUCAAAGGAAAAUAUAGAAAUGACCCAGUACAAGAACAGUAAAAUAUCUUUCCACCUGUUAAUUUGGUAAAGAUCAGAAUGUGUGUGUUAUGGUUUGAAUGUCUAUGACCCUCCAAAAUUCAUAUAUUGGAACUUAAACCCCAAGGUGAUGAUAUUAAAUGGUAUGGUCUUUGGGAAGUGAUUAGGCUGUGAGGGCUUUGCCCUCAUAAAUGGGAUUAAUGUGGGUAUAAAAGAGGAAUCAGAGAGCUGCCUGGCUUUUCCAUCUCUUCUGCCAUGUGAGGGCAGUGUCUGUCUCUUUCCCUUUCUGCCAUGUGAGGACACAACAAGAAGUCACCAUCUUGAAAACAGAGAGCAGCCAUCACCAGACACCAAAUCUGCCAGUGCCUUGAUCUUGGACUGCUCAACCUCUAAAACUGGGAGAAAUAAAUUUCAUUAUUUAUAAAUUACCCAGUCUGGGUAUGUUUUUAAUAGCAGCAUGGAUGGACAAAGACAGUGUGUAACACUCAGUAUCAACAAACUCCAAGGAAAUGGGCACCCUGAUACUCUAUUGUGUAGUGUAAAUUCACACAAAUUUUGGAGAGCAAUUUGGCAAUAUAUAUCAAAAUCUUAAAAAAGUUCUAGGCACAAGAACCCUGUUUUAGAAAUUAAGUCUAUUGGAGUAGUCUGCAGGAAGUUGUGUCUGUAAAUUUGUUUAUCACAGUUCUGUUUAUACUGGAAGAUAACCCUCAAGAAAUGUUAUAUAUCUAAUAAUAGAGGAUUACAAUUACAUGAUGAAAUUUUGUAUAGACAUCAAAAUUAUAUUAUAUAUAUUAUAUAUUAUAGAAAAAUAAAAAUGUUUAUGAAAUGUGAAGGAAAAAAUAUCAUAGGUUAUAAAACAGUUUUCCUUCAAGCCCAUUUCGGUUAAAUUUAUAUAUUUAUGUUAUAUUCUGUAAAUAUUUAUAUUGAAAUGUCCACAGUAACUGUAUAUAAUGGAAGUUGCAGUAAUGCUAACAGGUUUUCCUGACUUAUCUAUAUAUUUUUCAAUUUGCUACAAUAAACAUAUAUUUUUUCUAGAUGGAUAAACAAAGCUGCUUUUUUAUUUUAAACAAAAGAGAUCAGUAAGAUUAUUUUAUUUUCCAAUCAGAUUCUAAGCUCUCUGGGGCAAGAUUCAGCUUAUGAAGUAUCAGAUAACAAACAUAAUAGAUAAAUCUUUGUUUUUCAGCUAUGUGGAUUAUUUUUCUAAAGCAGUCUGGAUGAAUUUUUUAGGGAAAGAUCAACUCUUUAAAAAAUUUACAUUUUUCUUUUGUUGAAUAAGACCAAUAGCAUUGAUGCUAUUAUAAAAGAUAAAUAAAAACCACAGAAAAAUAAACUUGGUUGAGCCUGUUGGGAAAACAUUUAUGGACAAACUAUAUUUUCAAAGAGCUUUGACUAACAUCACUUUAAAUCUUAAAUCUUUCUUGUCCUUCUGGGUGUUCUUUCAUGAAUGAAAAAAACAGAAAGGCUUAAAAAAGAAAUUCCUGCUCACCAUCUCCCUAAAGCACCAUCUCCCUUGCUGCUUUCGGUUGACUCUCAUCAGUUCCUGAGUUCUAGCUAAAAGUUGGGACUUCACAUCAUUGGAAGGUGAAUAGAAAAGUAUGUCUUAAGAAUUUCACCAUGUUUUGGAAGAAUUGCAGCAAGAAAAAAAGAACUCCUUUGUUUCCACCCCAUUUCUUUUAAGGAAAACCUGGAAUAUCUGAGGGUGCAAGCUGAGAAAAGUCUGCUUAUCUGUUCCCUACUCUGGCAAUCAAAAAGGAUCCAAGUCUACUGUUCUCUUCUCCUGGCACUCUUAACUUGCACACAUUGCAACCUUUUAUGGCAAAGUAAUGGUCAAGCUAUCCUAACAAGGACGAGCCCUUAUUAAAUAAUUCACUGUGGUUGGGAAAUGGUGAGGAAGCCAUCUUCUUUUGUCUUCUUUUCUCUGAAAAUAAAAUUUUGUCUAAUUUUGUAUUAAGGACAUUUGGGCUUCACUUUAUUACAUUCUCUACUUUCUUUAAUAGCUCGAAGCUCAUGACAGUACAUGUCUGGUCUUGCAAAACAAGAUGAAUUUGUUAAAUUAAACUUUUAAAAAAAAUCA